UUUCCGGUUGAUCCCGCCGGACCUGACUACUAUCGGAUUGAUACUAAGCCAUGCGAGUCCUUGUAGUAAUACAAGGCAUACGGCUCAGUAACGCGUAGUCAACCUACCCUAUGGACAAGAAUAAUCUCGGGAAACUGUGCAUAAUUCUUGAUAGAUCAUAAUGCCUGGAAUGGUAUAUGGUUAAAAUGAUUCGUCGCCAUAGGAUGGGACUGCGGCCUAUCAGCUUGUUGGUGAGGUAAUGGCCCACCAAGGCGAUUACAGGUACGGGCUCUGAGAGGAGAAGCCCGGAGAUGGGUACUGAGACAAGGACCCAGGCCCUAUGGGGCGCAGCAGGCGAGAAAACUUUGCAAUGUGCGAAAGCACGACAAGGUUAGUCCGAGUGAUUUCUGCUAAAGAGACCUUUUGCUAGUUAUAAAACCACUAGUGAAUAAGGGGUGGGCAAGUUCUGGUGUCAGCCGCCGCGGUAAAACCAGCACCUCAAGUGGCCAGGAUGAUUAUUGGGCCUAAAGCAUCCGUAGCCGGCUCUGUAAGUUUUCGGUUAAAUCUAUGCGCUCAACGUAUGGGCUGCCGAGAAUACUGCAGAGAUAGGGAGUGGGAGAGGUAGACGGUACUCGGUAGGAAGGGGUAAAAUCCUUUGAUCUAUCGAUGACCACCUGUGGCGAAGGCGGUCUACCAG
rnacentral:rRNA from 1 species